rfam:Brassica rapa chromosome A10, whole genome shotgun sequence.
CAGAAUGAUGAAAAUUGGAAGAUAGUGCACCAGAAUAGGAAGGAAGCAGAAAAAGAUCUCCCCGACCCAUCUGGUA